rnacentral:rRNA from 1 species
GGUGAACGCUGGCGGCGUGCUUAAGACAUGCAAGUCGAACGGCAGUCUUCGGACUGUAGUGGCGCACGGGUGAGUAACGCGUAACUGACCUACCCCAAAGUCGCGGAUAACGAUUCGAAAGAAUCGCUAAUACGUGAUGCGCUGUCAGAUUGUGUUCUGCCAGUAAAGAUUGAUUGCUUUGGGAUGGGGUUGCGUUCCAUCAGCUAGUUGGUGGGGUAAAGGCCCACCAAGGCGACGACGGAUAGCCGGCCUGAGAGGGUGGCCGGCCACAGGGGCACUGAGACACGGGUCCCACUCCUACGGGAGGCAGCAGUUAGGAAUCUUCCACAAUGGGCGAAAGCCUGAUGGAGCGACGCCGCGUGAGGGAUGAAGGUCUUCGGAUCGUAAACCUCUGAAUCAGGGACGAAAGACACUUCGGUGGGAUGACGGUACCUGAGUAAUAGCACCGGCUAACUUCGUGCCAGCCGCCGCCGUAAGAC